GGCCCCAUGUCCUACCCAUACCCAGCACUAAGCCUGGAGCAGAGGAACUGUAUGACAUUGCUCACUGCAUUGUGGCUCUGGGCAAGGGCACUGGCAGCAUUUUCAAGAGGCUGCAGUCCACUGGCACCAGGAACACAGAGAACCGGCACUUCUACUGCCCGUUGCUGCUGACCACUGCUGACUGUGUGAAUCCCUGCUUUGGGGGUGAUCCUCUUUCAUGAGACACUGUACCAAAAGGUGGAUGAUGGACAUCUCUUCCUCCAAGUUAUCAAAUACAAGGAUGGUGUUAUGGGCAUCAAGUAGACAAGGGCAUGGUGCCUCUGGCAGGAACCAAUGACAAGACCACCACCCAAGGGCUGAAUGGGCUGUCUGAAUGCUAUGUCCAGUACAAGGAUGGAGCCGACUGCCAAGUGGCAUUGUGUGCUCAAGAUUGGAGAACACACUCCCUCAGCCCUUUCCAUCAUGGAUAAUGCCAAUGUUCUAGCCGAUUAUGCCAGCAUUGUGGAGACCAAAAUCCUCCCUGAUGGGAACCAUGACUUGAAGCACUGUCAGUAUCUAACUGAGAAGGUACAGGCCACUGUCCACAAGGCUCUGAGCAACCACCACAUCCACUUGGAAGACAUCUUACUGAAGCCCAACAUGGUCACCCUAUGCCAUGCUUGCACCCAGAAGUUUUCAAAUGAGGAGAUUGUCAUGACAACUGUCACAGCACUGUGUCCCACAGUGCCCUCUGCUGUUCCUAGGAUCACUUUCCUGUCCAGAGGGCAGAGUGAGAAAGAGGUGUCCAUCAAUCUCAGUGCCAUCAACAAAUGCCCCCUGCUGAAGCCACAGGCCUUGGCUUUCUCCUAUGGCUGAGUCCUGCUGGCCUCUGCCCUAAAGGCCUGAGGCGGGAAGAAGAAUUUAAAGGCUGCCCAAGCGAGCCCUGGUAAGGCAAGUAUGGAUAUCAGUCUCACUUGUCAAGGAAAGUGCACCCCAAGUGGUCAGACUGGGGAUGGCAGCCAGUGAGUCCUUAAUCUCUAACCAUGCCUACUAAGCUAAGGUGGUCUAAGGCUUCCCCAUCAAUAUUCCAGGCCCCUGCCUACCCACUUGCUCUUGAAGAAGGGGACUUCCAGGCUCUUUCCCACCAC